UACGAAGGGGGCUAGCGUUGUUCGGAAUUACUGGGCGUAAAGCGUGCGCAGGCGGCUUCUCAAGUCAGGGGUGAAAGCCCAGAGCUCAACUCUGGAACUGCCAUUGAAACUGUAAGACUUGAGGAUGAGAGAGGUGAGUGGAAUUCCCAGUGUAGAGGUGAAAUUCGUAGAUAUUGGGAAGAACACCGGUGGCGAAGGCGGCUAUCUGGACCGUAACUGACGCUGAGGCGCGAAAAGCGUGGGGAGCGAACAGG
rnacentral:rRNA from 1 species